UACGUAGGGUGCGAGCGUUGUCCGGAAUUAUUGGGCGUAAAGAGCUUGUAGGCGGUCUGUCGCGUCUGCUGUGAAAAUCCGGGGCUCAACCCCGGACUUGCAGUGGGUACGGGCAGACUAGAGGUCGGUAGGGGAGUGUGGAAUUCCUGGUGUAGCGGUGAAAUGCGCAGAUAUCAGGAGGAACACCGAUGGCGAAGGCAGGUCUCUGGGCUGUAACUGACGCUGAGGAGCGAAAGCAUGGGGAGCGAACAGG
rnacentral:rRNA from 1 species